AUUGAUAAAUAGUGUGGCAUGCAAUUCUUUUAUUUAAUUCUUCUUCUUUUCUUUUUUUGUAGCACUUCCCAAUAUCAGUUUGCAGCACAGUAAUGUCUCUUGAAUUGUUUUCUCAGCGUCAAACCUUGUGUCUGCAGUAAUCAGACGUGUAAUACAGAGAACCAUAGACAAACUGACAUAAUAAGGAUCAGAGUUCAGUGACACUGAAGCGGACUGAGGAACCAGAAGUUUAUGGCAGAAGACCUUGUGUAUAAAAAGAUAACAAUAAUCAUAGCUCAACUGGAGCAUCAUAAAUUUUCUGGCAAAACAGUUGGGAAGGAUACACACUCCAGAUUUUAAUGAAAAAUGAUGUACCAACAGCAAUUACUCUUCUAUAAUGAAGGAACUUCAAUUUCCAUUGAUCUCAGCUGUAGAUGUAUCACAUAAGAAUCUUAAGUGAAAUGCACAGUCUCACCAGUAUAACUAUUCCCAGGAAAGCUCAUUACCACACUUCAGAAAACACAGUCUGCUGUCCUCACACCAAGAUCAUGCGGGAGCUGAACCAAGAGGAUGGCGCAUCUCAUCUUGUGGCUCUGUGUGUCUACUACGAGGUCAGUGCUGCAGUGAAAGUCUGUGUAAUCUUUUUCUUGGCCUGUCUCAUGUGA
rnacentral:lncRNA from 1 species